GACGAACGCUGGCGGCGUGCCUAAUACAUGCAAGUCGAACGCACAGUUUAUACCGUAGCUUGCUACACCAUAGACUGUGAGUUGCGAACGGGUGAGUAACGCGUAGGUAACCUGCCUGGUAGCGGGGGAUAACUAUUGGAAACGAUAGCUAAUACCGCAUAAUAUUAAUUAUUGCAUGAUAAUUAAUUGAAAGGUGCAAUUGCACCACUACCAGAUGGACCUGCGUUGUAUUAGCUAGUAGGUGAGGUAACGGCUCACCUAGGCGACGAUACAUAGCCGACCUGAGAGGGUGAUCGGCCACACUGGGACUGAGACACGGCCCAGACUCCUACGGGAGGCAGCAGUAGGGAAUCUUCGGCAAUGGACGAAAGUCUGACCGAGCAACGCCGCGGGAGUGAAGAAGGUCUUCGGAUCGUAAAGCUCUGUUGUAAGAGAAGAACGGGUGUGAGAGUGGAAAGUUCACACUGUGACGGUAGCUUACCAGAAAGGGACGGCUAACUACGUG
rnacentral:rRNA from 1 species